ensembl:antisense Gm16794 predicted gene, 16794
GAGAGAGAACACACACAGAGAAGACAGAGAGGACAAGGGGUCUCCAUUAGACGGAAUGGACCAAAAGCAUGCAGCCAAGAGAAGUGCCCCCUAAGGACAGACUGAUAGACCAAGUUAGCCUGGGUGAGACUCAAACACUGAAUCUACAGACUUUUUCAUCUUCCUGUGAUAGCUGAUAGCAACCCAAAGAUGAUAGGUCACCGAAAUCGAAAUUACCUUCUAAUCUUCCUCCAGAAUUGUAAAAGGAGAAAAUUUUUGAUGUUCUUAAAGAUGGAUCCAUUAGCCUUAAUUUACUCUCAAGGACCCACUCUGGUACUAUUUGUUGUAGCUGUUAUUUAGUUGCUAGGACUUGAAAUCAGGACCUAGAACAUCCAGGCACAUCUGUUGGAACAUACUUCUUCAGGACUCCAGCUUAUACAGAAGACAAGCUGAAUCUCCUAGCCUCACAGGACUGAGCAACUACUAGACUCUUGGACUUCCCAUUCACAGCUGCCUAUUGGGUUGGUUGGACUGGAAAUUCCCUUAAUAUAUACAUUCCCUAAGUUCUGUGACUUUAGAGAAUCCUGACUAAUUCAUGAAAAAGGAUUUGAUACUACAAAUGACCUGUUUCUUACCAUACUUUUGCCUUAAUUUUUUCUUUUUAAAAAUUUGGGACAUGAUAUCAUUUGCAGCCANGGCUGACACUGAACUCAUGUUCCCCCUGUCUUGGACUUCCUGAGUGCUGGGAUCACAGGCAAGCAUCACCACUGUUAACUACCUUUGUCUAUUACUAUUACAACCUGUUUAUAAUAAUUGCCUAUGACGUUUGCUUGUUUGUAAUAUUCUAUUUCCUCAGUCUUGCAUUAUUCAUUCCAAUUUUACUACAAUAAAGACCUUUUCCUACUUACUUUUUUUGAAUGGAUUUGAUUAUAUAAGUAUGAAGGUACCUUUUAUUUUAUUUCAUGGGUUAUAAUUAAUUAUGAUCAACAUCAUUUUUCUAAAGUUAUCCAAAGCUAGGACAGCUUUCUAAUUUUCUGACAGAAAACUAACUUUUGUUAUUCAUAGAAUAUUUGCUUCUUUGCUAUAGACCGAUGAAGUAAUUUCAUAAUUGCUAACAAAUAUUUCAGAAAAGUAAAUGUUAAGAUUUNUUUUCUGGUAAGCUACCUCAAAAGUUUUUUGCACCGAAAAUUAUUAUAUACAUAUUUUACAUCAUGUAGAUAACAAUCUCACAGUAUAUAUUUCUAUCAUAAGAAUAAAUAUAAUACCCUUUUCUUUAUAUAUUUUGGUCAGAAUAGGUCUCAAGCCAGCAGUAUUGUUCACCCAUUCAAUAAUCCCACAUUCAUCAUUCAGUGGAAUAACUGCAUAUGUUCGUAUAUGAAGUUCUCUUCGACGUGAUUCUGCAUCUUUUCUUAAGCUCUAUGGAAAACAAAGACAGAAAUAAAAUAAAAUAGGAUUCAGAUUCCUAUUAUGUCAAAUGUAUCUAAAUAUUGUUCAUUUCCUAGUAAAAGUGCUGAUGGCAGCCUGUAAUGCAUAGUUCUGAAAGUUAGAGGAAGAAGCUAUGGGAUCGNAGCUAUCCUACUUCUAACCCUUAAGAUGCCUCGGAAUAGCUUCUCUUUAGUUCUCUACUAUGCAUGUAACAGAAUACUACAUUUGAAAAAGCAGUAUUUAUAGCCAUAUAAACAACAAAACACUAUUGUUUUCUUUUCUACAGCAUUAGAGAUAAUGAUUAACAAUAAGUACUGAAGCACAGAGACUAUAAUGUUUAAUUUUAUCUAAGAAUUGUUAUUUUACUUUCCUCUUGGACAACAUCAUAAGGAAUCAUAUUAUCUACCCCCAAAUCCCCAAUCCUGUAAUGCAUGUAAGUCUGUGUAUAAAUAUAUAUAAUUAACCUUUUAUUCUGAGACUGGGUCUUGCUUGCCAAACUUACUAAUAAAAAAUGAAUUCCAUUAGUCUACAA